rnacentral:lncRNA from 1 species
CUGACACCGCUGCCAUUUGUGGCGCCGGGAGAGCCGGGCGGCGGGAGCUGGGGCUCGCCGGCUUGCUCCAGUUGGGCCGGUGGCUCUCGGGCUCCUGCAGUCGGGCUGCUGCCCGCGGUGACCCAGGUACUCGCCGAAGGGUGGACUGCCACCAGUUCCUGUGGCCGGGACGGAUUCUGGUGCCUUCUGGCGAAGACUGGGCAGGGUUCCGUCCUGACUUCCGAAGCGGAGUGGAGAGGAGGGGACCCGGGGCGCGCAGCGCGGGCAGGUGGCAGUGGGCGAAGCUCCUUCGGCUCCGUGUGGGAGACCCGGGGGAACGAAGGGAGAAUGCCGCGCGGAAGGGGCCUGUGUGAUGCGCUGCCGGUGGGGAACUAGCCAGAUCACCUGGGAGCGAGGGUGCUGCCUUUCCGCCCUUUUGGGAAAACAUCAUCAAGUCGAGAUGCAAGUGUUGGGAGACCUGAGAACUCGGUAGCGCAGACGUGGUAACCGUGGGUUUUUAGGGGAGCAUCCGAUACUUUUUAAAAUGAGUAUCCAGAAGAUCAAGUCAGUUAAAACCGGAGCCAAAUGACUAUUCUAACUAAAAGAUUGUCAUUUCUUACAACUCCCUGAGGUUACUGUAGGUGUAAAAUCAGUUUUUUUAAAAAAAUCUAUUUCUGUGCCCCUUCCUCCAGCCAGCCCGGCAUGUAAGUAUGCUCCGUGUGGGGUGGUCACCCCCCUUGAGCACCACCAUUCGUAUCUCACUGAAGUCUCCCUCACCCUUUGCAGCGCGCAGACCAGUAAUUCCAGUAUCUGAGAUCUCAGCGGACCAACUGUGGGGUGACAUGGCCCAGGGGAAUAAUUACACGCAGACCAGCAACGGGGUCGCAGACGAAUCACCCAACAUGCUGGUGUACAGAAAGGAUAGCCAUCGCACUUCCGGUGUCACUCAUAUGUUUGGUGGCCCAGUGAUGGACACAGAGCCGCUGGGUACAGCUGCUGGGACACCAAGAAGCUCUUGAUUUUCGUGCGUCACAGACCUGUGAGCUGACUCCACAGUGUGUGAUGGAAACGAGACAGUCCUGAAACGACCAAGUCCAGAUAAAGCGCGA